UACCAUUCAGUGAACAGUGCUGAGCACAGACUCACCAUGGAGUUGGGGCUGAGCUGGGUUUUUCUUGUUGCUCUCUUGAAAGGUGUCCAGUGUGAGGAGAAGCUGGUGGAGUCUGGGGGAGGCUUGGUGCAGCCUGGCGGAUCCCUGACCCUCUCCUGUGCAGCCUCUGGAUUCACCUUCAGCAGCUAUGGCAUGCACUGGGUCCGCCAGGCUCCAGGGAAGGGGCUGGAGUGGGUGGCAGUUAUAUGGUAUGAUGGAAGUCAGAAACGUUAUGCAGACUCCGUGAAGGGCCGAUUCACCAUCUCCAGAGACAAUUCCAAGAACACCGCAUCCCUGCAAAUGAACAGUCUGAGGUCUGAGGACACGGCCACGUAUUACUGUGCAAAAGACACACAGUGCGGGGACUUCAGUGUGAGCCGGACACAAACCUAUAGGCAGUGUGCUGAGGACCAGCAGGGGGCGCGCAGGAAGUACAGAGUUCUGGGUCAGAUCCGAGCAGGAGGAGGGGGCUGGUAG